rnacentral:rRNA from 1 species
UACGUAGGUGGCAAGCGUUGUCCGGAUUUAUUGGGUUUAAAGGGUGCGUAGGCGGCUUUGUAAGUCAGUGGUGAAAUAUGGCAGCUCAACUGUCAGGGUGCCAUUGAUACUGCGGAGCUUGAGUACAGAUGAGGUAGGCGGAAUUGACGGUGUAGCGGUGAAAUGCUUAGAUAUCGUCAAGAACACCGAUAGCGAAGGCAGCUUACUGGGCUGUAACUGACGCUGAGGCACGAAAGUGUGGGGAUCAAACAGGAUUAGAUACCCUGGUAGUCCACACUGUAAACGUUGAUGACUCGCUGUUGGCGAUACACAGCCAGCGGCAGAGAGAAAUCGUUAAGUCAUCCACCUGGGGAGUACGCCGGCAACGGUGAA